rnacentral:tRNA from 2 species
GGUAAUAUUAGUUUAAUUGGCAAAAUAACGUCUUGUGGCGACGAUGUUCAGAGUUCAAGUCUCUGAUUUUACC